GAUGAACGCUGGCGGUAUGCUUAACACAUGCAAGUCGAACGGUCACUUCGGUGAUAGUGGCGGACGGGUGAGUAACGCGUGAGAAUCUGUCUUCAGGUCGGGGACAACAGUUAGAAAUGACUGCUAAUACCGGAUGUGCCUUUGGGUGAAAGAUUUAUUGCCUGAAAAAGAGCGCGCGUCAGAUUAGCUAGUAGGUGGUGUAAGAGACUACCUAGGCUCCGAUCUGUAGCUGGUCUGAGAGGACGAUCAGCCACACUUGAACUGAGACACGGUCCAGACUCCUACGGGAGGCAGCAGUGGGGAAUUUUCCACAAUGGGCGAAAGCCUGACGGAGCAAUACCGCGUGAGGGACGAAGGCUUUUGGGUCGUAAACCUCUUUUCUCAAGGAAGAUGAUGACGGUACUUGAGGAAUAAGCAGCGGCUAACUCUGUG
rnacentral:rRNA from 1 species